GGGGACAUAGCUCAGUGGUAGAGUGUGUGCCUGGCAUGUACGUGCAUGAGGUCCUGGGUUCAAUCUCCAGGGCCUUCG
rnacentral:tRNA from 1 species